rnacentral:rRNA from 1 species
UUCGGUGGCCGGAGCGAGGUGGCCCAACCCGUUCCCAUCCCGAACACGGAAGUUAAACGCCUCAGCGCUGACGAUACUGGUGAGGUAGCUCUCUGGGACAAUAGGUCGCUGCCGGGC